UGCCAGCCGCCGCGGUAAUACGGAGGAUCCAAGCGUUAUCCGGAUUUAUUGGGUUUAAAGAGUCCGUAGGCGGAAUAUUAAGUCAGUGGUGAAAGCCUACAGCUUAACUGUAAAAUUGCCAUUGAAACUGAAGUUCUUGAAUGUAGUUGAGGUAGGCGGAAUGUGUUGUGUAGCGGUGAAAUGCAUAGAUAUGACACAGAACGCCAAUUGCGAAGGCAGCUUACUAAGCUACGAUUGACGCUGAGGCACGAAAGCGUGGGUAGCGAACAGGAUUAGAUA
rnacentral:rRNA from 1 species